GCUUGGAAUUAUCAAUAUCGAAAGUGACAUGAUGGAGAGAGAGAGUUCUAUCUUCAAUGAAAACAUUGAAAGGGUAGGAACUGCAGCCGAUAUGAAUCCACGAAUGCCUAAAGUGUUGUAUAUGUUCGGAACUAAUAAAACCAAAAUCCUUCCAUCCUGUACGGUGAGAAUGAAUUCAAAAGAAGGAACCGUAUUUUGAAACACACGGUAUUAAAUGUGAUCCUGACGCUGAUCAUUACAAACUUGCAACCUUAUAACAACAGAGGAUCGCCAAACCUACCGCAAUUGCAAAUACUUAUUGCAUUAAGGCAUUGAAAUGCAACUGGAUGUUUUCAGAUGGUGUGUGGUGAUCUGAACAGCAUAAGCCAAUCUACAGUCUGUUUAAUUAUAAAUAAAGUCUCUGCAGAGUUGAGUAAAUUACUUCCUAGAUUUGUAAAUUUUCCAAGAAAUAUGAACACAGCCAAAACGAAGUUUGCAGAAUUAGGAAGAUCUAAUACUCACCAUGGCCUAAUCAGUAUAAUCGGAGCUAUUGACUGCACCUAUAUAAAAAUUAAUAGACCUAAAGGUAUCGCUCACUCUGAAGCACACAGAAAUAAAAAAGGUUUUUCAGAGUGUGAAAAAGGAAAUUUCCAUGUUUACAGCUAGGACUAGAGUCAAAAUUGGCAAAUACUAGUUAUAUAUAAUUAUAGCUUGUGCUGUAUUGUAUAAUAUAGGUAUACAGAGAGGGGAUGCUUAUGAUGAUGGUGAUCUUGCUGACAGCAGAAGUUGAGUAACACAGAAACAAUGAAAGAUCUCCUACAGGUCUAGCAUUCCGGCAAUCUGUGAUUGCACAAUUUAACUAGGUAAUUUGUUUGGUAAUAAAGAAUAUCAAAACAAAA